rnacentral:rRNA from 1 species
GACGAACGCUGGCGGCGUGCUUAACACAUGCAAGUCGAACGGAAAGGCCCUUCGGGGUCCUCGAGUGGCGAACGGGUGCGUAACACGUGGGUGAUCUGCCCUGCACUUUGGGAUAAGCCUGGGAAACUGGGUCUAAUACCGAAUAUGAUCAUCGGCUUCAUGGUCGGUGGUGGAAAGCUUUUGCGGUGUGGGAUGGGCCCGCGGCCUAUCAGCUUGUUGGUGGGGUAAUGGCCUACCAAGGCGACGACGGGUAGCCGGCCUGAGAGGGUGACCGGCCACACUGGGACUGAGAUACGGCCCAGACUCCUACGGGAGGCAGCAGUGGGGAAUAUUGCACAAUGGGCGCAAGCCUGAUGCAGCGACGCCGCGUGAGGGAUGACGGCCUUCGGGUUGUAAACCUCUUUCAGCACAGACGAAGCGCAAGUGACGGUAUGUGCAGAAGAAGGACCGGCCAACUACGUG